AGAGUUUGAUCCUGGCUCAGGACGAACGCUGGCGGCGUGCCUAAUACAUGCAAGUCGAGCGAAUGAUGAAAGAAGCUUGCUUCUUUCUGAUUUAGCGGCGGACGGGUGAGUAACACGUGGGCAACCUGCCCUUUAGUUUGGGAUAACUUCGGGAAACCGGAGCUAAUACCGAAUAAUACUCUUUCCUUCAUGGGAGAAAGUUGAAAGACGGUUUCGGCUGUCGCUAAAGGAUGGGCCCGCGGUGCAUUAGCUAGUUGGUGAGGUAACGGCUCACCAAGGCAACGAUGCAUAGCCGACCUGAGAGGGUGAUCGGCCACACUGGGACUGAGACACGGCCCAAACUCCUACGGGAGGCUGCAGUGGGGAAUCUUCCGCAAUGGACGAAAGUCUGACGGAGCAACGCCGCGUGAGUGAUGACGGCCUUCGGGUUGUAAAGCUCUGUUAAUCGGGACGAAAGGCCUUCUUCGAAUAGUGAGAAGGAUUGACGGUACCGGAAUAGAAAGCCACGGCUAACUACGUGCCAGCAGCCGCGGUAAUACGGAGGGUGCAAGCGUUAAUCGGAAUUACUGGGCGUAAAGCGCACGCAGGCGGUCUGUCAAGUCGGAUGUGAAAUCCCCGGGCUCAACCUGGGAACUGCAUUCGAAACUGGCAGGCUAGAGUCUUGUAGAGGGGGGUAGAAUUCCAGGUGUAGCGGUGAAAUGCGUAGAGAUCUGGAGGAACACCAGUGGCGAAGGCGACGAUCUGGCCUGUAACUGACGCUCAGUCCCGAAAGCGUGGGGAGCAAAUAGGAUUAGAUACCCUAGUAGUCCACGCCGUAAACGAUGAGUACUAAGUGUUGGAGGGUUUCCGCCCUUCAGUGCUGCAGCAAACGCAUUAAGCACUCCGCCUGGGGAGUACGGCCGCAAGGCUAAAACUCAAAGAAAUUGACGGGGGCCCGCACAAGCGGUGGAGCAUGUGGUUUAAUUCGAAGCAACGCGAAGAACCUUACCAGGUCUUGACAUCCUUUGAUCACCUGAGAAGAUACAGUUUUCCCUUCGGGGACAACGGUGACAGGUGGUGCAUGGUUGUCGUCAGCUCGUGUCGUGAGAUGUUGGGUUAAGUCCCGCAACGAGCGCAACCCUUGUUCUUAGUUGCCAUCAUUUAGUUGGGCACUCUAAGGAGACUGCCGGUGAUAAACCGGAGGAAGGUGGGGAUGACGUCAAAUCAUCAUGCCCCUUAUGACCUGGGCUACACACGUGCUACAAUGGACGAUACAAACGGUUGCCAACCCGCGAGGGGGAGCUAAUCCGAUAAAAUCGUUCUCAGUUCGGAUUGUAGGCUGCAACUCGCCUACAUGAAGCCGGAAUCGCUAGUAAUCGCGGAUCAGCAUGCCGCGGUGAAUACGUUCCCGGGCCUUGCACUCACCGCCCGUCA
rnacentral:rRNA from 1 species